CUUGUCACGUGACGCGUGACGUCACAGCUCCGGCUCGAACCGCCAAAAGUUCACGCGCGCGAGUUUAGGACGGAUCGCGAGAAUUAUCGGGCGCUUUUGGCGUGAAAAUUCUCCGAGUUUUUCGGCGUCGUCGAUCGUACUUCAAGUCGGAGUUUGCGCGUUUCCGGUCGUACUUUCGCAGUAUUGUAUCGAAGUAUCGUUACGCGACAUGUUAACUUGCAAUAUUCGCAAAAAUUGCAGAUCGAUUACUACGGUCGAUGACUACGGUCGCGCCGCCAUAUUUUAUUGUUGUAGAAUCUCUCGCGGCGUCUCGAAAUACACGCGCUUGACAAUAAAAAUAAUAAUCAGCAAAGCUCCUGCGCGAUUUCCGGGAUUUCUUUAUCGUCAAAUAUUCAGUGAAACAGAAAAUAUAGUGUGUCUAGUGUCCAAUUCGGGAAUAUCGGUUGACUCUUGAGUGCGCCGUGUGGGGAAGUCGCCUUUGUCGUUCGAUAAUUAGAGUUUACGAAAAUGUAAUAGCUAAAACUCGGACGUUGUUGCGCGUUGCGAACGAAAAAGUAACGCGAGUGUAAGUGUUUCGAAGUUUCUACGAGAGGAGGAGGAGACCCGGGGCGGCAUCGGGCAUCGCCGAAGCAAUUAUAUGGUUUCUGAGAACAUCCCUGUGCUGAUUUCACACGAGAAUUCCAGGAUAAAAAGAGGCAUUUUUCGAUGAAGCCGCAUAAUUACAAGAAGCAGAAUAAACUCGCCUCUGA